CAUAUGGACAGUUACUACAUGAGUUGUGUGACAAACAUACUGUUGGUAUGGCGAGGAUUUAAACGGUAUCUACAGCUGCCCUCAGUGCAUAAAUACAUUUACCCCAAUGUUUGUGCUGAAGAAAAAUGUUAUGAUGGUGGUGCUUCUGGAGAAACGAAUGAUCAGUCUCCCAAGUAUCUUUGAAAGGUAACUGUUAUGCUAGCCCCGGACGACGACGAGUGGGAUUUCUGCCUCGUGAUGAAACAAAAAGUUGUCAAGUCCUGCCUAAUUUGAGUCGCCUCGUUUCGUGAAACUCCUCUCAAGCAUCAACAUCAAGUUCCCGGCUUGAUGAAGCAUAGGCCUACCCUGUUCGACGCCGGUGAAAUUAAGAACAUUUGCCCUCAUUACAAUUAAGUGCUUGAAAUGUAUGUCAUUGUGAUCACUGUAUCUGUUCUCCGUGAAUCAACACCACGGUCAUAUGGUUGUUUCAGCAGCAGCAGAGGGCUGGGCAACAGAAAACGUUGAGGGACAUGGACUACAUACCAGCAGAGGGCACAGGAAAGCAAGAGAAUGAAGUAAAAUAACUGAGACCUGCCUUGGAGUAUCUCAAGGGACAGAUGUCCAGGUUGUGCAGUUCCCAAGACCAGAGAGGAGUUCUGGACAUAAUACAUGUUUUGGCGCGCACACCCAGUCUCCCUCAGAUAAACUUUGUGCAAUAUUACACACCCAUGAACUAACACACCUAUAGGCCCCAAGCUCUCCUUAUCCCUUAACUUUAACAUCCUGAGUUAAUGCCUGAACUUAACCUUAAACACUUUGAAAUUUGACGUUUGAGAAACAUGGAUGAACGUCUAAUUCGGACGUGAGACUGUGAGAGCUGGUUGGGCUUAACGUUGGCCUUCAAGAGAUUUCAUCCAGCUGACAGUGGAUGCCAGCACAGCAAAUAGGCAUCUCAUUCUGUCUGGGGACAAGAAGGAAGUGUCAUUCAACUCAUAUGGUUCACCUAAGCCUUCCACAGAGCUUUUCAUCUCCUAAAGCUCUGUGCAGAGAGGGCCUCCAAUGACGUUAUUACUGGGAGGCUAACUGGGAAGGCAGCCAUGUUUCUGUGGCUGUGUCGUACUUAGGCAUUAGUAGGGUGUCUUGAAGGUUGGACUACUCUAGGUCCAGCUACGAGUUCUACAGGUAUAGCUUUGGUUACACUUUCAUGCACAAUUAAUAUAUAUAUUUCUUAUUUCACUUUAUUUAACCAGGUAGGUCAGUUGAGGACAACUUCUCAUUUAUAACUGCGACCUGGCCAAGAUGAAUCAAAGCAGUGCGACACAAACAACAAUGCGAAGUUACACAUUUCGAAGACCUUAGAAAGGCAGGGUAGGAUAGAUAUAGGUCUGUAGCAGUUUGGGUCUAGGGUGUCUUCCCCUUUGAAGAGGGGGAUGACCGCAACAGCUUUCCAAUCUUUGGGGAUCUCAGACGAUACGAGAGGUUGAACAGGCUAGUAAUAGGGGUUGCAACAAUUUUGGCUGAUAAUUUUAGAAAGAGAGGGUCCAGAUUGUCUAGCCUAGCUGAUUUGUAGGGGUCCAGAUUUUGCUUCUCUUUCAGAACAUCAGCUAUCUGGAUUUGGGUGAAGGAGAAAUAGGGGAGGCUUGGGAAAGUUGCUAUGGGGAGUGCAGAGCUGUUGACCGGGGUAGGGGUGGCCAGGUGGAAAGCAUGGCCAGCCAUAGAAAAAUGCUUUUUGAAAUUCUCAAUUAUUGUGGAUUUAUAGGUGGUGACAGUGUUUGCUUGCCUCAGUGCAGUGGGCAGCUGGAAGGAGGUGCUCUUAUUCUCCAUGGACAAUACCGUGUCCCGAAACUUUUUGUAGUUUGUGCUACAGGAUGCAAAUUUCUGUUUGAAAAUUCUAGCCUUUGCUUUCCAAACUGCCUGUGUAUAUUGGUUCCUAACUUCCCUGAAAAGUUGCAUUUCGCGGGGGCUAUUCAAUACUAAUGUAGUACGCCACAGGAGGUUUUUGUGCUGGUCAAGAGCAGUCAGGUCUGGAGUGAACCAAUGGCUAUAUCUGUUCCUGGUUCUAAUUUUUUUUGAAUGGGGCAUGCUUAUUUAAUAUGGUGAGGAAAGCGCUUUUAAAGAAUAACCAGCCAUCUAGUUUAGAUUGUAGGACGGCCAGGGUGUUAAGCAUAUCCCAGUUUAGGUCACCUUAACAGUACAAACUCUGAAGAUAAAUGUGGAGGCAAUUAAUUCACAUAUGGUGUCCAGGGCACAGCUGGGGGCUGAGGGGGGUCUGUAACAAGCGGCAACAGGGAGAGACUUAUUUCUGGAAAGGUGGAUUUUUAAAAGUAGAAGCUUGAACUGUUUGAGCACAAACCUAGAUAGUAUGACAGAACUCUGCAGGCUGUCUCUGCAGUAGGUUGCAACUCCACCCCCUUUGGCAGUUUUAUCUUGGUGGAAAAUGUUGUAGUUGGGGAUGGAAAUUUCAGAAUUUUUGGUGGCCUUCCUAAAUCAGGAUUCAGACAUGGGUUGGAGUGUGCUAAAGCAGUGAUUUUUUUUUUU